rnacentral:tRNA from 1 species
GGGGAUUUAGCUCAGGGGUAGAGCGCUUGCCUAGCAAGCAUAAGGCCCUGGGUUCAGUCCCCA